UGCUGGAUAGCUCUGUCAGCAGAGCAUGACACUCUUAAUGAGAUUCUUAAUCUCAGGGUUGUGGGUUCAAGCCCCAUGUUGGGCAA